rnacentral:rRNA from 1 species
GUGGGGAAUAUUGGACAAUGGGCGAAAGCCUGAUCCAGCAACGCCGCGUGAGGGAUGACGGCCUUCGGGUUGUAAACCUCUUUCAGCGCAGACGAAGCGAAAGUGACGGUAUGCGCAGAAGAAGCACCGGCCAACUACGUGCCAGCAGCCGCGGUAAUACGUAGGGUGCGAGCGUUGUCCGGAAUUAUUGGGCGUAAAGGGCUCGUAGGCGGUUUGUUGCGUCGGGAGUGAAAACUCAGGGCUUAACCCUGAGCCUGCUUCCGAUACGGGCAGACUGGAGGUAUGCAGGGGAGAACGGAAUUCCUGGUGUAGCGGUGAAAUGCGCAGAUAUCAGGAGGAACACCGGUGGCGAAGGCGGUUCUCUGGGCAUUACCUGACGCUGAGGAGCGAAAGUGUGGGGAGCGAACAGGAUUAGAAACCCGGGUAGUCC